rnacentral:rRNA from 1 species
AAUCAACGCUGGCGGCGCGCUUAACACAUGCAAGUCGAACGAGAAAGUGGAGCAAUCCAUGAGUAAAGUGGCGUACGGGUGAGUAACACGUGGAUAAUCUACCUCUUAGUGGGGAUAACUUUGGGAACCGAAGCUAUACCGCAUAAGCCUGGAAAGGGAAAGCCGCAUCUUAAUAAAUGUGGCGCUGAGAGAGGAGUCCGCGGCCGAUUAGCUAGUUGGCAGGGUAAAAGCCUACCAAGGCAUUGAUCGGUAGCCGGCCUGAGAGGGCACACGGCCACACUGGCACUGAAACACGGGCCAGACUCCUACGGGAGGCAGCAGUGGGGAA